rnacentral:ncRNA from 10 species
AUCGUUCAUCUUGUAAGUUUUCUAAGCUUAUUGGACGGAAGUAGACGAAAGUCGAAGGAACGCAUG